GUGGGUAGAGCUCAGUGGCAGAGCGCAUGCCUAGCUUUCAUGAGGUCUUGGGUUCAAUCCCCAGUACCUCUA
rnacentral:tRNA from 1 species